CGCUGGCGGCGGCCUAACAAUGCAAGUCGAACGCUCUCUUCGGAGAGAGUGGCGCACGGGUGAGUAACGCGUGGGAACCUGGCUCUUGGUACGGAACAACCGCGGGAAACUGCGGCUAAUACCGUAUACGCCCUUAGGGGGAAAGAUUUAUCGCCGAGAGAUGGGCCCGCGUCUGAUUAGCUAGUUGGUGAGGUAAUGGCUCACCAAGGCAUCGAUCAGUAGCUGGUCUGAGAGGAUGAUCAGCCACACUGGGACUGAGACACGGCCCAGACUCCUACGGGAGGCAGCAGUGGGGAAUAUUGGACAAUGGGCGCAAGCCUGAUCCAGCCAUGCCGCGUGAGUGAAGAAGGCCCUAGGGUUGUAAAGCUCUUUCAACGGUGACGAUGAUGACGGUAGCCGUAGAAGAAGCCCCGGCUAACUCCGUGCCAGCAGCCGCGGUAAUACGGAGGGGGCAAGCGUUGUUCGGAAUUACUGGGCGUAAAGGGCGCGUAGGCGGUCUGUUGCGUCAGGUGUGAAAGCCCCGGGCUCAACCUGGGAGGUGCACUUGAUACGGGCAGACUGGAAUCCGGGAGAGGAUGGUGGAAUUCCCAAUGU
rnacentral:rRNA from 1 species